GACGAACGCUGACGGUGUGCUUUAGACAUGCAAGUCGAACGAGAAAGCCCUUCGGGUUAGUAAAGUGGCGAACGGGUGAGUAACACGUGGGCAAUCUGCCCCUCGCAGGGGGACAACCGGAGGAAACCCCGGCUAAUACCCCGUAAGUUCAAAGGGAGGCAUCUCCCCUUGAAGAAAGGUAGCUUCGGCCAUCCGGCGAGGGAUGAGCCCGCGGUGCAUUAGCUAGUUGGUGGGGUAACGCCCACCAAGGCGACGAUGCAUAGCUGGUCUGAGAGGAUGAUCAGCCACA
rnacentral:rRNA from 1 species